rnacentral:rRNA from 1 species
AUUGAACGCUGGCGGCAGGCCUAACACAUGCAAGUCGAACGAGAGGCGGACGGGUGAGUAAUGUCUGGGAAACUGCCCGACGGAGGGGGAUAAGUACUGGAACCGGUAGCUAAUACAGCUAAACAUGCGUUGUGGCCAGGUGGGAUUAGCUAGUGGUGGGGGUAACGGGUCACCUAGGCGACGCUCCCUAGCUGGUCUGAGAGGAUGACCAGCCACACUGGAACUGAGACACGGUCCAGACUCCUACGGGAGGCAGCAGUGGGGAAUAUUGCACAAUGGGCGCAAGCCUGAUGCAGCCAUGCCGCGUGUAUGAAGAAGGCCUUCGGGUUGUAAAGUACUUUCAGCGAGGAGGCGUUACUCGCAGAAGAAGCACCGGCUAACUCCGUGCCAGCAGCCGCGGUAAUUC